UACGGGGGGGGCAAGCGUUGUUCGGAAUUACUGGGCGUAAAGGGCUCGUAGGCGGCCAACUAAGUCAGACGUGAAAUCCCUCGGCUUAACCGGGGAACUGCGUCUGAUACUGGAUGGCUUGAGGUUGGGAGAGGGAUGCGGAAUUCCAGGUGUAGCGGUGAAAUGCGUAGAUAUCUGGAGGAACACCGAUGGCGAAGGCAGCACUCUGGGCCGGCACUGACGCUGAGGAGCGAAAGCGUGGGGAGCGAACAGG
rnacentral:rRNA from 1 species